CUUCCUUUAUGUUCUGGAAAUGACCAGGGAAGACUCUUGUGUAAUCCUCUCAGAAUCUUCCAUUCUUCCACUGACUGAGGAAAGACUCCAUGGGCACUUGCCAGAGGAAAGUGGAUUGUGUUUCAGGCUUGCUCUGAGGCACAGGUUUCUCCUUCCACCUACCCCUCCCCAGUCAUCCAGCUCACCCUGGAGCUCUCUCACUAGCUCACCUUUCAUGUUAGAGUAGCAUAACAAGGAAUUGUUACACAGAAGGACAAAAACCUGUGGAUGGAAAGGCUGCCGAAGCAGAAGAACAGAAGGUGAGAGACUCAGUGGGCAGCAGCCUCCUUUUACCCUCAUUUCUCUCUGUUUCCCUGGGACUGUGAUAAACAGACCUUUCUGAAAAUUCCCUAUUACCUUAAGUUAUCAAAACUACAACCUCCCUCUUUUGUUUACAUUAAUGAUAGCACAAUAGGCAUUUGGUUCUCUAUUUCAAUUUUUUUUCAUUUAAUGAUGUACUUUGAAUGUCAUUGCAUAUCACCUGUCAUCUUCACUAUCAUUCUGAUUUUUUUUUUUUCAGGAAAGUUGCCGAUCUCCGUUUCAUUUAGUUGUUUUUCUGAGGUUUUAUCUUGUUCCUUUAUCUGGGACAUGACUUUCUGCUUUUUCAUCCUGAUUAACUUUCUGUAAUGUGGGUUUUGUUUUAGCUUCUUUGAGACUAUGAUUCUUCUUACUGCUGCUGUCUGCCCUCUGAUGGAGGAGGCUGAGGCUCGAGUAAGCUUCCUGAUGGGAAGGACUGAAAGGGAAAAACUAACUUGCUCUGGUGGGCAGGGCCUCAGUAAAGUUUUAAUCCAAUUAUCUACUGAUGGGUGGGGCUGCACUCCCUCCCAGGUUAUUGUUUGGCCUGAGGCGACCCAGCCCUGGGGUCUGCAGGCUCUAUGGCCAGGUUAAGGGCAACCACCAAGAAGGACCUUCCUGGACUAUUGCUGCCAGUGCCCCUGCCCCUGUGGUGAGCCCCUGCCGACCCACACCUCCUCAAGAGACCCUCCAACACUAGCAGGUAGUUUUAGUUGAGCCUCCUGUG